GCUCCACCAACCUAGCCAGUCCACCUCCCCAUGCUGCUCCCCAACUUAGCCAGUUCACCUCUCCAGCCUAGCCAGUCCACCUCCC
rnacentral:lncRNA from 13 species